GAAGGAAGCAAGCUAUUUCCUUUCUGUAACUCCUGAAGCUUUGCAGAGCAUCAGCAAUUUAAUUUCUCCUGCUGACCUCCCACCACAUACACCAAUACAGGAAUAGGACAUCCAGCAUCUAAUGGGUCAGUUUCAGAGAAAACAUCUCACUCGCAGUUUCUUGUGAGAAAUUCAAAAAUUCACCAUUGUUUCUGCCAGGCUCAGCUGCUCCGUGGCUUCAGUGGAGCUUUUGUUCAGCCUGGACCAACCUGCCAGUGUCCAACAGUGGCUGUGAAAUAUGUCAUUGUAUUCCAUGAGAUGCUGCUCCAGCCAUGGACAAGCCAGUGUCACCCAGCCUUUCUUCCCUCACCCAGGAGCAACUGCAGGAUCUGCUCAGCUGUGAGGAACCAACAAGCUCAACAGUGGAAGUAAAUGAAGUUUAGCAGCAGGACAAUGAGGCUGAAAUCCACAGAGCUCCUCCUACUCUCUGCUGUUGCUCCUUCAUGGUGGAGCAGCCCUUGUGUUGGUACCACAUCCCAUCUCUCACCUCCAGCCCUGGCCUGUCUGAUGUGUUCCACAGCAGGCAGUGGUGAGAUUCACCUCUUUUAACUUAAGGCACCAACAGUGUGGGUGUCUGUGCCUGAGCCACUCUUUUAGAGGUGGUGGAGGGAGGAGGGCACUUGUAGGGCACAGCUGAGCUCAUCCUAAAAGGGAUCAUCUGAAAUGAGUCCUGCCCCUUUCUCUCCUCAACUGCAAAAAGACUCUGCAAUCAGCUCUCUCAUAGGUGUUUCUGCUGUGGGUGGUUGUAUCAGUCCUCUUCUGGCUCCAGCUCCUCCUUUCGUGUCCUUCUGGCUGGACAAGAAACCCAAGUAGUAAAUUCAGGCAGGCAGCAGACUCACACUGCAGCCUGGUCCCUGUCACAUCUGCCUUUGGGAGCCACCAUCCUCUUCAUCCCCUGGAAUAACACGGACUGAGUACUACAGGCAUCCCCUCACCCUCCCACAGGCACAGGAAUCAGGGGGUUGGAGCAGGAGGUGCAGUGGUGACUAAAUGCGACCUGACGAGAUCAUGAACAGGCCAACAACUUCCAGCUCAUCCUGGCCCUCCUGGUUUGGCAGCCCAGACAGUGUUAGAGACUUCAGCUUGUCAGAGUGGAUCUUGUAAUAGCUCUAAGUUAUGCUUGUCUCCUGGAAAAAGAAUGAACAGAAGAGAUUUGCAUCUGCCCUUUUGAAGAAUAAAAUAAACCACACCAGCCAAGCCAUUUUCACUUAAUUUCCCCUCCUCACUUUGAAGCCAGGAUGAUCACUUAGUGCCUAGAGUUGUUCUGAUCCACAUGAUGAUGUGGGCAAGACCAUUGCUCGUGUUUCCCCAGUCCCUCUGAUGUUUGUUGGUUUGUUGUGUUAUUGUUUGUUGUUUUUAUGCCAGCAUCCACGCAUCAGCCCCACCUAGCAGCCAGACCAUUGCAUGGGAUGUGCCUCCAGCUGCUCAGCAGCUUGAAGGCAAAAAGGCUGUUUGGCUGUGGCAUUGGCUUAUAGAAUUUCCUGAUUACCAGAAAGACUAGUUUUUGGAUUAAUUUUGUUCUGUCUUUUGAGGACAUUUCAGCAGUAGAUGCCUGAUUAGAAUACCUUUCCACCUGGACUCUGUCUUUACUCCUUCUUCAUCCUAUCUCUAGUGGCCAAGGGAUGAACAAGCCUAUUUCAUUAUGUUUGUUCUUCUAAACUUCAUCUUCUCUUUUCAUUUUGACUGUCUUUUGAGCAAUCAGAGAGGUUAUAUGUACUAAUGUGCUUUAAAGAGGAGGAAGCACCAUCCACGCCUCUGACCUGGUUCAUCUCAUGGGGUUGGAUGCCCAUUUCUGGCUGCUUCUCACUCUGCUGUUUGCUCCACUCUUGUGUCAGGGAGAUAAAUUGGGAACACAAACAGCAGCUGGGAUAAGCCCCAGUAACUCCAUUGUCUUUCCUCCCUGCACUCAUGUCCCUUUCACAGCCUUUUGAUGCUCCUUCAGCAACCAAAGCUACAUCUCCAUGCUCCACCAUGACUUUGGGUCCAGGCUUAUCCCCCCAGGGAUAAGGGGCUGAGAUCUGUCCCUGGCAGCACAUCAUAUAUUCCUGAGAAUGGUUACCCCAAAGCCAAAUAUUUCUAGAAAGCAGGAGGGUGACUCUUAUAUGUAUCUGGGAAUUUGUCAAAUUAUUCAGCAAAUGUCACUGAGCUACAGAGACACUGAUGGUCAGGCACAUUUGCUGGGAUUCAGA